rnacentral:rRNA from 1 species
CUACGUGCCAGCAGCCGCGGUAAUACGGAGGGUGCGAGCGUUAAUCGGAAUAACUGGGCGUAAAGGGCACGCAGGCGGCUAUUUAAGUGAGGUGUGAAAUCCCCGGGCUUAACCUGGGAAUUGCAUUUCAGACUGGGUAGUUAGAGUACUUUAGGGAGGGGUAGAAUUCCACGUGUAGCGGUGAAAUGCGUAGAGAUGUGGAGGAAUACCGAAGGCGAAGGCAGCCCCUUGGGAAUGUACUGACGCUCAUGUGCGAAAGCGUGGGGAGCAAACAGGAUUAGAUACCCUGGUAGUCCACGCUGUAAACGCUGUCGAUUUGGGGAUUGGGCUUUAAGCUUGGUGCCCGUAGCUAACGUGAUAAAUCGACCGCCUGGGGAGUACGGCCGCAAGGUUAAAACUCAAACGAAUUGACGGGGGCCCGCACAAGCGGUGGAGCAUGUGGUUUAAUUCGAUGCAACGCGAAGAACCUUACCUACUCUUGACAUCCAUGGAAUCCUGUAGAGAUACGGGAGUGC